GUUUAAAUAGUUUAAGAGAAAAUUUUGAUUUGUGGUGUCAAUGAUGUAGUUAAUACUUUAAACC
rnacentral:tRNA from 1 species